GAUGGACGCUGGCGGCGUGCCUAAUACAUGCAAGUCGAGCGAACAGAUGAGAAGCUUGCUUCUCUGAUGUUAGCGGCGGACGGGUGAGUAACACGUGGGUAACCUACCUAUAAGACUGGGAUAACUCCGGGAAACCGGGGCUAAUACCGGAUAAUAUUUUGAACCGCCUGGUUCAAUAGUGAAAGACGGUUUCGGCUGUCACUUAUAGAUUGACCCGCGCCGUAUUAGCUAGUUGGUAAGGUAACGGCUUACCAAGGCGACGAUACGUAGCCGACCUGAGAGGGUGAUCGGCCACACUGGAACUGAGACACGGUCCAGACUCCUACGGGAGGCAGCAGUAGGGAAUCUUCCGCAAUGGGCGAAAGCCUGACGGAGCAACGCCGCGUGAGUGAUGAAGGUCUUCGGAUCGUAAAACUCUGUUGUUAGGGAAGAACAAAUUUGUUAGUAACUGAACAAGUCUUGACGGUACCUAACCAGAAAGCCACGGCUAACUACGUGCCAGCAGCCGCGGUAA
rnacentral:rRNA from 1 species